rnacentral:rRNA from 1 species
CCUACGGGUGGCAGCAGUCGAGAAUCAUUCACAAUGGGGGAAACCCUGAUGGUGCGACGCCGCGUGGGGGAAUGAAGGUCUUCGGAUUGUAAACCCCUGUCAUGAGGGAGCAAAUUAAAAAGAUAGUACCACAAGAGGAAGAGACGGCUAACUCUGUACCAGCAGCCGCGGUAAUACAGAGGUCUCAAGCGUUGUUCGGAAUCACUGGGCGUAAAGGGUGCGUAGGCUGUUUCGUAAGUCGGGUGUGAAAGGCGCGGGCUCAACCCGCGGACGGCACAUGAUACUGCGAGACUAGAGUAAUGGAGGGGGAACCGGAAUUCUCGGUGUAGCAGUGAAAUGCGUAGAUAUCGAGAGGAACACUCGUGGCGAAGGCGGGUUCCUGGACAUUAACUGACGCUGAGGCACGAAGGCCAGGGGAGCGAAAGGGAUUAGAUACCCCAGUAGUC